AAUCCUUCCGCUCCCUGAAGGUGUUGACAUCUGCUCGGUAUGGGCAGGAAAGUUCAUCUUACAGCAGGGCUCCCAGUCCUGUGUCACUGCUGAGGAAAUUCUGGUCCUUUCGUGCUCAUAACCAACAUGUCAUCUGAAUGUUGCCUCUCCUCAUGCUGUUGUUUUAAAUAAUUGAUUUUGAGUCUUUGUGUUUUCCCAAGUCAAUAAAGCGAUUACACCGUGCCCCAGAGCACCCAAGCACCAGGUUAGUCUCGUGGUAAUUGUUCAACCCACGCUUACUGAGCUGAAAUGGAGAGGAAAAUGGUAGAUGCGGAAAACUAAAGCUGGUUUAAAUCUAGGGUUUGUAAACCACAUGCUUAUAGGUAAAAAAUGAAGGUAUGUGGAUCUUCUACUUGUCAUCAUGAAGACGACUCUCCAAUAAACUUGUACAUGGCCUAAA
rnacentral:lncRNA from 1 species